UUAACUAAAACCAAAAAAGAGGUAAAUUAUUGUUAAUAAUUUAAGUGAAUAAUCCUAAAUUCUAGUUGAA
rnacentral:tRNA from 1 species